ACAUCCAGAGAAUUUAGCAGAGAUGCUUUAGUGCCUUCGGGAACUCUGAGACAGGUGCUGCAUGGCUGUCGUCAGCUCGUGUUGUGAAAUGGUUGGGUUAAGUCCCGCAACGAGCGCAACCCUUAUCCUUUGUUGCCAGCACGUAAUGGUGGGAACUCAAAGGAGACUGCCGGUGAUAAACCGGAGGAAGGUGGGGAUGACGUCAAGUCAUCAUGGCCCUUACGAGUAGGGCUACACACGUGCUACAAUGGCGCAUACAAAGAGAAGCGACCUCGCGAGAGCAAGCGGACCUCAUAAAGUGCGUCGUAGUCCGGAUUGGAGUCUGCAACUCGACUCCAUGAAGUCGGAAUCGCUAGUAAUCGUAAAUCAGAAUGUUACGGUGAAUACGUUCCCGGGCCUUGUACACACCGCCCGUCACACCAUGGGAGUGGGUUGCAAAAGAAGUAGAUAGCUUAACCUUCGGGAGGGCGUUUACCACUUUGUGAUUCAUGACUGGGGUGAAGUCGUAACAAGGUAGGCGUAGUGCU
rnacentral:rRNA from 1 species